UAGCACAAUGUGAAAAGAGCUC
rnacentral:miRNA from 1 species